rnacentral:snRNA from 1 species
GGAUGUUAGGGCAAUCUGGCUGUGACAUCUGUCACCCCACUAAUCGCCAGGGUUGAUUCAGCUGAUCUGGCUGGCUAAGCAGGUGUCCCCUUCUUCUCUCACCACUCCAUAUGCAUCCCUCCUGAAGCUGCAUGCUUGGUUGAAGAGGACGACCAUCCCCAAUAGAGGAGGACUGUUCUUCUCAGUCAAGGGCAUACAAGUGGCUGCGCUCCCCUGCUAGAACCUCCAAACAAGCUCUCAAAGAAGAUAUCCAGAUGGCCAACAGGUGCAUGAAAAGAUGCUCAGUAUCCCUAAUUAUUACAGAAAUGGAAGUCAAAACUAC